rnacentral:rRNA from 1 species
CAAAUGAAGUUGACGGGGCCCGCACAAGCGGUGGAGCAUGUGGUUUAAUUCGAUGAUACGCGAGGAACCUUACCUGGGCUCAAAUGUAUGUUGACGUAUUCUGAAAGGGAUACUUCUUCGGACAAUAUACAAGGUGCUGCAUGGUUGUCGUCAGCUCGUGCCGUGAGGUGUCGGGUUAAGUCCCAUAACGAGCGCAACCCCUAUCAUUAGUUGCCAUCAGGUCAAGCUGGGGACUCUAAUGAAACUGCCUACGCAAGUAGUGAGGAAGGUGGGGAUGACGUCAAAUCAGCACGGCCCUUACGUCCAGGGCUACACACGUGUUACAAUGGCCAGUACAGAGGGCAGCCACCCCGCGAGGGGGCGCUAAUCCUAAAAGCUGGUCCCAGUUCGGAUCGGAGUCUGCAACCCGACUCCGUGAAGCUGGAUUCGCUAGUAAUCGCGCAUCAGCCACGGCGCGGUGAAUACGUUCCCGGGCCUU